GACAUGUAAGUGGUAGUGAUCUGAAAAGUGAACGACCUUCGGGAGCUUACACAGGUGCUGCAUUGGCUGUCGUCAGCUCGUGUCGUGAGAUGUUCGGUUAAGUCCGCUAACGAGCGCAACCCUCACUGUGUGUUACAAGUGUCACACGGGACUGCCGGUUUUAAGCCGGAGGAAGGCGAGGAUGACGUCAAGUCAGCAUGGCCUUUAUAUCUUGGGCUACACACACGCUACAAUGGUCUGUACAAUAGGUUGCCAAGCCGCGAGGCGGAGCCAAUCCUAAAAGCAGGCCUCAGUUCAGAUUGCAGGCUGCAACCCGCCUGCAUGAAGAUGGAGUUGCUAGUAACCGCAGGUCAGCUAUACUGCGGUGAAUACGUUCCCGGGUCUU
rnacentral:rRNA from 1 species